AUGAAUGAAGAGGAAGAAAACAAAAACCUCUCAUUUGAUAUUUUCCAAACGACAAACAUAAUUAAAAGUUGUAUAAAAGCUAAUUACAUAAAUUAUGACUUUUUUUUAUUUUUACUUUCGAAUUAUAACUUUCACUUAUCGAAACCUACAUCCUUAGAUAAUAUACUUAAUUAUUUUAAAAUUAUAACAAAAAUAAUAAACACAUUUAAUAUAAACGUCUAUCAACAUAUGUUAUAUUUUGAUUCUGUUCAGAAAGUUGUUAAUAUUGACUCUGCUCAAAAAACGGCUAAUAUUGGCUCUGUUGAGGAUAUACAGUUGGAAAAUGGUACAAAUUGGAAAAAUCCUUACAACGUAUUUUAUUACGUUCACCAAUUGGGAAAGGAGACCAUCCAAAAAGAAAUAUAUAAAUAUGAUUUACAAACUAAACUACUAAAUAAUGACCCUUUUUUUAUAAUAAAACAUAAUUUAUAUAAUUAUAAAACAAGAGAUGAAUGUACUUUAUUAAAUAAAUUUGAAACAUAUAGAGAUAAGAUAGUAAUAAAAAAAGUAACUGAAAUUAUAGAACAUAAUUUAUAUAACAAAAAUAUAAAAUAUAUAUUCCACAAUUUGAUGACUACUUUAUUUUUGAGUAAAAUAAAAUAUAUAAAUAUAUAUGCACUAUCUUUUAUGAUUAUAAAAGAAAAUAUAAAUUAUUUUAAUAUUAAUAAUUUAUUUUUUUAUUUAAAAAUUUAUCACCAAAUGAACAUUUACAAUUAUGAUAUUCUGCACAUUAUAUUAAAACAUGUUAUAUCGUAUAUAAAUAAUAAUAAUGAUGAAAGUGUAAAAAUGUCAAAAAAAAUAAAAAUGAUUUUGUUAUUAUGUAAUAUACGUAAAAAAUUAAUUAAAGAAUAUAUGAACAUGUUAAUAAAUUUUUUUACGAACGAAAAAAAAAAUCUAGAAAUUACAAACAAAACAAAUAACCAUGACACGUUUAAUUUUACUGAAGAUCUAUGGAACUUACCUACAUCAGAGUAUGUAAAAAAGACUACAAAACCACUAUUACCAAACAAUAUACUUAACAACAAGUAUAUGUUUGAUAAUUAUUUAUCCUAUAAUCAUAUAGAUAUAUUUAACUCAAAACAAAAUAAAGAAAAUAAUAUUUUAACUAAAGCAGAAAAUAAUAACUUCCAUAUGACGAACAUAAUUAACAAAUCGGAUAUAUAUUCAUUUCACUUAAAUUUUAAUGACUAUUUUAAUUUUUUAUUAAUGCUAAUUUAUAAUAAAAAAGAGUUGGAUAUGGAAACUCCAGAUUUAAAUACACUUAUUUUCCCAAAUGAAAAAUUAAAAAAAGUAAUAAUAGUUAGGAGAAGUGAUGAUGAUAAUACAAAUGAUAAACUACUAGGAAACCAUGCUACUGUCUAUGAAAAACAUUCACAAAUUAUAAGACAAAACUUAAGUAAUAAAAAAAAUUUGGUGAUUUAUUUAUUUGAGAAGUUUAUUACCUUCUUAGAAAAAAAAAAUAAUAAUGAAAGUGAUAUAUAUGUUGAUCAGAUUAUAUAUAUUUUGGAAUUUAUAAAAGUGAUGGAUAUAAAUGUUUAUAAUGAUAUAAUGAAAACAAAAAAAAUUAAAAAAUGUUAUGAUAGUCAUUAUAUUAAUACAGUUAAGGAAGAUAGUAGUAGUAAUGACAGUAGUAGUGUUGACAGUAGUAGUGGUGACAGUAGUAGUGAUGACAGUAGUAGUGAUGACAGUAGUAGUGGUAAAAGUAAUAACAAUAAUUCACUCUUCGAAUUAAAAAAGGAAGAUAUAAGUUUUAUAAUUUCGAAAACAAAAAACAUAAAUUUAAAUUAUGAAACUAAUUUUUUUAAUUUCAAUUACAAUAUAAAAAGUUACAGAUUUCAAUAUAAAAGUGUUUAUGACGCUAUUAAUAUAUUUUUAACUAUUAUUAAAAAAUCAAAAUAUGUUAAUAAAUAUAAAAACGUAAUUAACGAAAGGAGCGACAACAACAACAGCAACAACAACAGCAACAACAGCAACAACAACAACAGCAACAACAACAGCAGCAACAACAGUGAUAAUUGUUAUAAAUUGAAAAAAAUUGAAAAAUUUUAUAAAUUACAUCAUUUUUUAAUAGCAGAUAUUUUACUAACAUUUGAAAAAAACAAUAAACUAUUUUAUUAUUUUUUUAUAUUUUAUCCAAAAGAAAUUAAAAAAACAGUUUUUAAUAUAAACACAAAAAAUAGUUUAAUUUUUAAUUAUGAGUAUGAUGAUACUUCAUUUUUAUUUAACACAGAAAUAUUAUACAUUUAUAAUUUUAUAAAAAAACAAUUUCAACAACAACAAAGUGCUCUUACUAUUAUUGACACAACACAAUUUAUUGAUUUUUACAAACAUGACCAUGACAAUAACCAACUGUUUGAGUUAUGUCAACAGCUGUUUGAUCAGUGCCUUGUGUAA
ensembl:lncRNA